rnacentral:rRNA from 1 species
GACGAACGCUGGCGGCGUGCCUAAUACAUGCAAGUUGAGCGAUGAAGCUUGGUGCUUGCACCAAUUUGAAGAGCAGCGAACGGGUGAGUAACGCGUGGGGAAUCUGCCUUUGAGCGGGGGACAACAUUUGGAAACGAAUGCUAAUACCGCAUAAUAACUUUAAACAUAAGUUUUAAGCUUGAAAGAUGCAAUUGCAUCACUCAAAGAUGAUCCCGCGUUGUAUUAGCUAGUUGGUGAGGUAAAGGCUCACCAAGGCGAUGAUACAUAGCCGACCUGAGAGGGUGAUCGGCCACAUUGGGACUGAGACACGGCCCAAACUCCUACGGGAGGCAGCAGUAGGGAAUCUUCGGCAAUGGACGAAAGUCUGACCGAGCAACGCCGCGUGAGUGAAGAAGGUUUUCGGAUCGUAAAACUCUGUUGGUAGAGAAGAACGUUGGUGAGAGUGGAAAGCUCAUCAAGUGACGGUAACUACCCAGAAAGGGACGGCUAACUACGUG